rnacentral:rRNA from 1 species
UACGAAGGGUGCAAGCGUUAAUCGGAAUUACCGGGCGUAAAGGGUGCGUAGGCGGUUCGUUAAGUCUGUCGUGAAAUCCCCGGGCUCAACCUGGGAAUGGCGAUGGAUACUGGCGAGCUAGAGUGUGUCAGAGGAUGGUGGAAUUCCCGGUGUAGCGGUGAAAUGCGUAGAGAUCGGGAGGAACAUCAGUGGCGAAGGCGGCCAUCUGGGACAACACUGACGCUGAAGCACGAAAGCGUGGGGAGCAAACAGG